rnacentral:rRNA from 1 species
UACGGAGGGUGCAAGCGUUGUCCGGAAUCACUGGGCGUAAAGGGCGCGUAGGCGGCUCGAUAAGCGUGUGGUGAAAGCCUGGGGCUCAACCCCGGGUCGGCCAUGGGAACUGUCGAGCUGGAGCACUGUAGAGGCAGGCGGAAUUCCGGGUGUAGCGGUGGAAUGCGUAGAGAUCCGGAGGAACACCAGUGGCGAAGGCGGCUAACUGGUCCGGUACUGACGCUGAGGUGCGAAAGCGUGGGGAGCAAACAGG